AUUCCAGCUCCAAUAGCGUAUAUUAAAGUUGUUGCGGUUAAAAAGCUCGUAGUUGGAUUUCUGCCGAGGAUGACCGGUCCGCCCUGUGAGUGUGCAUCUGGCUCAGCCUUGGCAUCUUCCUGAAGAACGUAGCUGCACUUGACUGUGUGGUGCGGUAUUUAGGACAUUUACUUUGAGGAAAUUAGAGUGUUUCAAGCAGGCCUAUGCUCUGAAUAGGUUAGCAUGGAAUAAUAGAAUAGGACUUUGGUUCUAUUUUGUUGGUUUCUAGGACCGAAGUAAUGAUUAAUAGGGACAGUUGGGGGCAUUCAUAUUCCAUUGUCAGAGGUGAAAUUCUUGGAUUAACGGAAGAUGAACUUCUGCGAAAGCAUCUGCCAAGGAUGUUUUCAUUA
rnacentral:rRNA from 1 species